rnacentral:rRNA from 1 species
CAGUAGCCACGGGAACACGUAGGGUGCAAGCGUUAAUCGGAAUUACUGGGCGUAAAGCGUGCGCAGGCGGUUUGUUAAGACAGAUGUGAAAUCCCCGGGCUUAACCUGGGAACUGCAUUUGUGACUGGCAAGCUAGAGUAUGGCAGAGGGGGGUGGAAUUCCGCGUGUAGCAGUGAAAUGCGUAGAUAUGCGGAGGAACACCGAUGGCGAAGGCAGCCCCCUGGGCCAAUACUGACGCUCAUGCACGAAAGCGUGGGGAGCAAACAGGAUUAGAUACCCCAGUAGUCCCUGUCUCUUAUAC